rnacentral:rRNA from 1 species
AUUGAACGCUGGCGGCAUGCCUUACACAUGCAAGUCGAACGGCAGCACGGAGCUUGCUCUGGUGGCGAGUGGCGAACGGGUGAGUAAUAUAUCGGAACGUACCCUGGAGUGGGGGAUAACGUAGCGAAAGUUACGCUAAUACCGCAUACGAUCUACGGAUGAAAGUGGGGGAUCGCAAGACCUCAUGCUCGUGGGGCGGCCGAUAUCUGAUUAGCUAGUUGGUAGGGUAAAAGCCUACCAAGGCAUCGAUCAGUAGCUGGUCUGAGAGGACGACCAGCCACACUGGAACUGAGACACGGUCCAGACUCCUACGGGAGGCAGCAGUGGGGAAUUUUGGACAAUGGGCGAAAGCCUGAUCCAGCAAUGCCGCGUGAGUGAAGAAGGCCUUCGGGUUGUAAAGCUCUUUUGUCAGGGAAGAAACGGUGAGGGCUAAUAUCUCUUGCUAAUGACGGUACCUGAAGAAUAAGCACCGGCUAACUACGUGCCAGCAGCCGCGGUAAUACGUAGGGUGCAAGCGUUAAUCGGAAUUACUGGGCGUAAAGCGUGCGCAGGCGGUUUUGUAAGUCUGAUGUGAAAUCCCCGGGCUCAACCUGGGAAUUGCAUUGGAGACUGCAAGGCUAGAAUCUGGCAGAGGGGGGUAGAAUUCCACGUGUAGCAGCGAAAUGCGUAGAUAUGUGGAGGAACACCGAUGGCGAAGGCAGCCCCCUGGGUCAAGAUUGACGCUCAUGCACGAAAGCGUGGGGAGCAACCAGG